rnacentral:rRNA from 1 species
UACGGAGGGUGCAAGCGUUAAUCGGAAUUACUGGGCGUAAAGCGCGCGCAGGCGGUUUCUUAAGUCUGAUGUGAAAGCCCACGGCUCAACCGUGGAGGGUCAUUGGAAACUGGGGAACUUGAGUGCAGAAGAGAAAGGCGGAAUUCCACGUGUAGCGGUGAAAUGCGUAGAGAUGUGGAGGAACACCAGUGGCGAAGGCGGCUUUUUGGUCUGUAACUGACGCUGAGGCGCGAAAGCGUGGGGAGCAAACAGG